rnacentral:rRNA from 1 species
AUUGGACGCUGGCGGCAGGCCUAACACAUGCAAGUCGAACGGUAACAGGCAGCAGCUUGCUGCUUUUCUGACGAGUGGCGGACGGGUGAGUCAUGUCUGGGAAACUGCCUGAUGGAGGGGGAUAACUACUGGCUACGGUAGCUACUACCGCAUAACGUCGCAUGCCCAAAGAGGGGGACCUUCUUGCCUCUUGCCGUCGUAUAUGCCCAGCUGGGAUUAGCUUGUUUGUGGGGUAACGUCUCACCAAGGCGACGAUCUCUAGCUGAUGGGAGAGGAUGACCAGCCGCACGGGAACUGAGACACGGACCAGACGCCUAAGGGAGGCAGCAGAGGGGAAUAGUGCACAAUGGGCGCAAGCAUGAUGCAGCCAGGAGGCGUGUAUGAAGAAGGCCUUCGGGUUGUAAAGUACUUUCAGCGGGGAGGAAGGGAGUAAAGUUAAUACCUUGACUCAUUGACGUUAACCGCAGAAGAAGCACCGGCUAACUCCGUG